rnacentral:rRNA from 1 species
UGCGUAGGCGGUCGGGUAAGUCUGACGUGAAAUCUUCAAGCUCAACUUGGAAACUGCGUCGGAUACUAUUCGGCUAGAGGAAUGGAGGGGAGACUGGAAUACUUGGUGUAGCAGUGAAAUGCGUAGAUAUCAAGUGGAACACCAGUGGCGAAGGCGAGUCUCUGGACAUUUCCUGACGCUGAGGCAAGCCAGGGGAGCGAAACG